CUUCCUAUCUCAAGAUUAAGCCAUGCAUGUCUAAGUAUAAAGGCUUAUACUCUGAAACUGCGAACGGCUCAUUAUAUCAGUUAUAGUUUCUUUGAUAGUGUUUUUUCUACAUGGAUACUUGUGGCAAAUCUAGAAACAAUACAGGCGUACAGGCCUGACUUUGGGGGAGGGCUGCAUUUAUUUGACUUAAGCCAAUAGCCCUCGGGGUUGUUUUGGUGAUUCAGAAUAACUGAGCGAAUCGCAUAGCUUUCGGGCGGCGAUGAAUCAUGCAAGUUUCUGCCCCAUCAGCUGUCGAUGGUAGGGUAUAGGCCUACCAUGGCUGUGACGGGUGACGGAGAAUUAGGGUUCGAUUCCGGAGAGGGAGCCUGAGAGACGGCUACCACAUCGAAGGAAGGCAGCAGGCGCGUAAAUUACUCAAUGUUGACUCGACGAAGUAGUGACGAGAAUUAACAAUGGGGAGCGCUCAGCGUUUUGCAAUUGGAAUGAGAGCAAUGUAAAAGCCUCAUCGAGGAUCCAGUGGAGGGCAAGUCUGGUGCCAGCAGCCGCGGUAAUUCCAGCUCCAAUAGCGUAUACUAAAGUUGUUGCAGUUAAAAAGCUCGU
rnacentral:rRNA from 1 species